rnacentral:rRNA from 1 species
CCUACGGGUGGCUGCAGUGGGGAAUAUUGGGCAAUGGGCGCAAGCCUGACCCAGCAACGCCGCGUGAAGGAAGAAGGCUUUCGGGUCGUAAACUUCUUUUCUCAGGGACGAAGAAAGUGACGGUACCUAAGGAAUAAGUCACGGCUAACUACGUGCCAGCAGCCGCGGUAAUACGUAGGUGGCAAGCGUGAUACGGAUUUAUUGGGUGUAAAGGGCGUGUAGGCGGGAGCGCAAGUCAGAUGUGAAAACUCAGGGCUCAACCCUGGGCCUGCAUUUGAAACUGUGUGUCUUGAGUGCUGGAGAGGCAAGCGGAAUUCCGGGUGUAGCGGUGAAAUGCGUAGAUAUACGGAGGAACACCAGUGGCGAAGGCGGAUUGCUGGACAGUAACUGACGCUGAGGCGCGAAAGUGUGGGGAGCAAACAGGAUUAGAUACCCUUGUAGUC